CGAGGUAAUAUUCGUACUGUAAACAAAAAGUCAAGAAUCUAAGAUAGCCGGUGAAUACGACGUACGAAGACCAAGUAUGUCAGGGUACGAGAAACGACCGGUACCCGUGCGAAAGAGAGUUUCGUAGCCUUCGAGCUGUCGUACACUGACGACCACUGGCUGCUGUUGACUGGAAAGCAAGAUGGCUGCCCCCGGUCAGGACGCGCAUGCGCGCUAACAUUGUGCGGACAUCAAAUAGUCCCUUGCCCUUAACGACGCCUGUUCCAAAAUAUUUAAUAAAAAAUUUCCAUUUAACCAAGUCGCAAUUGAUGUUAUCAUUCAAAUGCUUUGUAUUUAAUCAUGUCUAUUGUUAAAAACAUUCAGUUCAUUGAUUAAUCAUUCUUUUUUUCUUUUCAUGACCGUGUCACGAAGCGUGAUGCGCACGCCAAGUAUCGCUACGCCGAUCGACGUGUCGUCGCGCGCAGAGCCCCGGAAAUACCGCGCCCGUCCCGAGCGCGCCCAACCGUUCGAAUGGACGGUCGACAACAAUUCCUGCGUUGUUUCACUUCUUCCACUUUUUCAUCCGUAAUAAGGGGCAAUGCACGUUUAUUCUACGCAUCAAUGAUAAUUUCAAGUAUGAACGUAAUCUUUCUUCGACAAAAUGAUCGUUUCUAAUAAAAAUUGCCGGUUUAUAUUUUAUGACUAAGAAAAAAAUUUAAUGAAGACACGAUUGUAAGAAAAAUUGAAUAUAACGAAUUUAAAUUAAAUAAUAAUUUAAAUUUUAGCUGAAAUAUAUUCCAAGUAUAUUCCAUUAUGAUAUUUAAGCGUAAUUACAAAUAGUAAAUAAGAAAUAAAUUACAUAUUCAUUAAUUUAAUAUUUU